AGAGUUUGAUCAUGGCUCAGGAUGAACGCUGGCGGCGUGCUUAACACAUGCAAGUCGAACGAUGAAGCCCAGCUUGCUGGGUGGAUUAGUGGCGAACGGGUGAGUAACACGUGAGUAACCUGCCCCCGACUCUGGGAUAAGCCCGGGAAACUGGGUCUAAUACCGGAUAUUACCUUUGACCGCAUGGUUGUUGGUGGAAAGAUUUAUCGGUGGGGGAUGGACUCGCGGCCUAUCAGCUUGUUGGUGAGGUAAUGGCUCACCAAGGCGACGACGGGUAGCCGGCCUGAGAGGGUGACCGGCCACACUGGGACUGAGACACGGCCCAGACUCCUACGGGAGGCAGCAGUGGGGAAUAUUGCACAAUGGGCGAAAGCCUGAUGCAGCGACGCCGCGUGAGGGAUGACGGCCUUCGGGUUGUAAACCUCUUUCAGUAGGGAAGAAGCGAAAGUGACGGUACCUGCAGAAGAAGCGCCGGCUAACUACGUGCCAGCAGCCGCGGUAAUACGUAGGGCGCAAGCGUUAUCCGGAUUUAUUGGGCGUAAAGAGCUCGUAGGCGGUUUGUCGCGUCUGCCGUGAAAGUCCGAGGCUCAACCUCGGAUCUGCGGUGGGUACGGGCAGACUAGAGUGAUGUAGGGGAGACUGGAAUUCCUGGUGUAGCGGUGAAAUGCGCAGAUAUCAGGAGGAACACCGAUGGCGAAGGCAGGUCUCUGGGCAUUUACUGACGCUGAGGAGCGAAAGCAUGGGGAGCGAACAGGAUUAGAUACCCUGGUAGUCCAUGCCGUAAACGUUGGGCACU
rnacentral:rRNA from 1 species